GAUCCUGGCUCAGGAUGAACGCUAGCUACAGGCUUAACACAUGCAAGUCGAGGGGAGACGACAUCGAAAGCUUGCUUUUGAUGGGCGUCGACCGGCGCACGGGUGAGUAACGCGUAUCCAACCUGCCCACCACUUGGGGGAUAACCUUGGCGAAAAGUAAGACUAAUAACCCAAUGACAUCCCACGAAGACAUCUGAAUGGGAUUUAAAGAUUUAUACGGUUGAUGGAUGGGGAUGCGUCUGAUUAG
rnacentral:rRNA from 1 species